rnacentral:lncRNA from 1 species
GCUUGAGGCUUUGCUCUGAGUCAUCCCUCUCUAAUGGCAAUUUUAAGGUCACUCCUGAACAUGGUUUGCCACACUGUUUGAAGAAAUGUGCACGUAUCCAUCUGCAAAAAGCCAGCUGUCCAGGAAGCAGUUCUAUUGUAAAGAGUCUACUCCUGCCUUUCAGGGAAAUAUGACCAGGGUUCUGGCUGACCAGCAUAGCUAUAAUUUUAUUCCAACAACACCAAUAAGCAACUGGUAUGUGACCAUGAGAAGAGAACUUCAGCAUUGCAAGACCAGAACACUGGCUAUCAAAAAGAUUAAUCACAAGGGGAUAUAUUGUUGCCUGAAUAUUUUAACAACUGGCAUGGAAAUAUUCUACCUUCCAAGAAAACUCCCUCCCAGAACAGCCAAGUAAACCUCAGAUGAGCUAUCAACUUGACCCACCACCGAAAUGUUUAAUUUUUUCCAAAAUCAAACUAAAUGAGUUAAUUCUUUUUUCUACUUCUCUCUUUAAUUUUAAAGUGACUUCAAAAAUGUUUCCUAAUGAAAAGCC